rnacentral:rRNA from 2 species
GUCGAGCGGACAGAAGGGAGCUUGCUCCCGGAUGUUAGCGGCGGACGGGUGAGUAACACGUGGGUAACCUGCCUGUAAGACUGGGAUAACUCCGGGAAACCGGAGCUAAUACCGGAUAGUUCCUUGAACCGCAUGGUUCAAGGAUGAAAGACGGUUUCGGCUGUCACUUACAGAUGGACCCGCGGCGCAUUAGCUAGUUGGUGAGGUAACGGCUCACCAAGGCGACGAUGCGUAGCCGACCUGAGAGGGUGAUCGGCCACACUGGGACUGAGACACGGCCCAGACUCCUACGGGAGGCAGCAGUAGGGAAUCUUCCGCAAUGGACGAAAGUCUGACGGAGCAACGCCGCGUGAGUGAUGAAGGUUUUCGGAUCGUAAAGCUCUGUUGUUAGGGAAGAACAAGUGCAAGAGUAACUGCUUGCACCUUGACGGUACCUAACCAGAAAGCCACGGCUAACUACGUGCCAGCAGCCGCGGUAAUACGUAGGUGGCAAGCGUUGUCCGGAAUUAUUGGGCGUAAAGGGCUCGCAGGCGGUUUCUUAAGUCUGAUGUGAAAGCCCCCGGCUCAACCGGGGAGGGUCAUUGGAAACUGGG